AGCCUAGAGCGCCCCUAGCGCCUCGCGCCGCGCCGGCUGUGCUCGAUCUAUCACGGAGAAGCGCUGCCAAGAGCGCCCACCGCGGUCGGCGUCCCUCUAGCUGCCGCUCGCUGGUCUCCUGUGAAGGCGGGAAGCCCCUGGGGAGGCGUCGGGCGGCGCCGCUCGGCCCGGCCCGGCCCGGCCCGGUCGAGCGGUGCCGGGGGGCGCUGCGGCCUCUGUGCGGGGCGAAGGACGGAGGCAGCUAGCGCGUCCGUGGGAGACGUGCUGCAGACGGCGACGGAGGCGCUGGGGACCCGAGCGCCUGGCGGCGGCCGGGGUCUGCGGCGCGGGUGAACGUGAGCGGCGGUUCGGCGGGCGCUCGCUGCGGGCCGGGCUGGCGGCCGCGGGGCCUGGGGCCUCGGGGCCGGGAGUGCGGCCCCUCAGACGGGAGAGGGUGCUCUAGCAGCGCCGAGGACGGGGCCGCAGCAGCCAUGUUCCUCUGAAAGUAAAGCAAAAAACUGCGGAAACUUGUUUCCACGCAGCACAGACGUGACGAAACACUUUUUUCAAACUUCUGUGGUUACCUAUUCUUUCCUCCUGCGUUCCCACUGCGUAACCUGUGCUGGAUUCUCUUCCAAAUAUGAAAAAUCAGAUCUAGUGCCUUAAAACACAAGUUUUGCUUCUAUUCCCCAAGUAUCACAAAACCCAGAGAUCUCGGCGUGAGGGCCUGUUCUGCCACGUCAUCAAGCGUGUCACCAGACGAGCACCACGUCACUCCGGUUAGCAAACCUGGCCGGAGUCUUGUCCCUUGAGUCAAAGGCUGCCAGCUGCCCUAGAAAUGACAAAAUAGUCCAAUUCUUUGCAGACUCCUCCCCUGACCUGCAAACCUGUUAUUACAGGACGAAUGAAGAAUCAUUCCAGAGCGCAAGACGCCUCAGUGAAGCAGAGCCACCAAGAUAGGCAGAAGGCUUCAUCGCGGAGUCAAGGUGCAUCUUGCCUCACAGCUUGAGAUCGUAAUUUGUUUGUAUCAGCUACAGUUCCUUUACUUCAGAGGUACAAAGAAAUAGCAUUUAAUCAGCAUAUUCUGAAUCACAGGGAUUUUGUGCUCCUGGGGGAGUUAUUGGCGUGAAGAGCACCUCGGAGCGGGGCGCUGGGAUGUGUUCGCUGAUCUGCUUAGGUAGCUGUGGUGUCAGCAGUAACGCCAGCUUCUGCAAGGGCAAGAGGGAAUGCUAAAAUUAUGUUUUAGUUACUUAGAAUAUAAAUAGACGACAAAUUGCUCGCCAGCUCUUUUGUCUGAAAGAUACUUAAAAGUACUUGGGAGAGGAAACGUACACUCUGUUAGAGAUCCGGAGUCUUAAUGUAUCAGCCUGGAGGAUUUCAAAGUGCUUUAGAGACACAGCAAGCUGGCUCGUACCCGGGACUCAGCCGCCGCGCGGGAGCUCAGCUCAGUUCCCGGCGACUCUAUCAGCAUGAGAAGUUUUUCAAGUUAAGCCAAAAAUACAAGGAGAAGGCAGUGCCGGAAGGUCUCUAGGACGGUGCCGGUCCGGUGGUGCGGCGGGGUUUGCGACAUGGUGGGGCUGCCCGCGCGCUCUCCCCGCGCCGUUCAUUAAUGAUGCUGUUAAAACAGGAGCGAGCAGAGGCUGUUCACAAUUUCCGAAGCUCUCCACAUGUGAUGAAAACAGCCCAGCCGCCAGCGAGCUUCCCCGGGGGAGGCUGGGAGCCCGGAGUCGGCUGCGCUGUAAACGUCGCUGCUUCCAAGAAGUUCUGCCGGGGAUGGAUUUGACCAUCUGGGUCUGAUUCCUGUGCAAGAGCUGUUCAUCUCGGGUGCACCCGUAGCAUCAGGGCAGCACCCCCCUUACGGGCGAGGAAUUGGUUUUCACUGGCUCAUACCGAGAACAGGCAACACCGUGAGAGUCUGCUGCGGCCUCUCGCGCCUGCCCGUGCCUCUGUGCUGCUCUGGGCUUUUCUCUCCUUCCCCGCCUGCCUCUCAGCCCCUUUUUGCUCGGCUCCCUGCCUGGACGCUGCUCAUGCAGCAGGACGAGGUUGCGGCUUGAGCGUGAGCAGCAUGACAGGCUCCUGCGCGCCCAGCGCUCGCUGGCCGCACUCCGUCCCCGGCACUAGAGCAAACCCUUCGUCUCAGCCGCGACGUCCGCGGGCCGGCGCUUUCCUCGAGAGCUGGAGCGCGCCUCGGUGGAGCCUGCGAAAGGCGAAGCUCUCGCGUCCCGGCCCCGUGUGCACUCCCGUGUGUCUGUCCCCACUGCCAGAUCUGGCCUGUAAAAAUCAGUAUAAUAACCAGAUAAAUAUUGUAAACAAUAGCAACAAGAGAGGUGGAAUAGAUACCUAGGAGCACACACGAUGCUGAGAACAAAAUUAAUCAAGUUAUUAUGUGGCCUGAAGAGAAGAAAUGAUUUAGUCCUAUAAAGCCAAUAAACAAGGCUAAUA